rnacentral:rRNA from 1 species
UACGGGGGGGGCAAGCGUUGUUCGGAAUUACUGGGCGUAAAGGGCUCGUAGGCGGCCAACUAAGUCAUACGUGAAAUCCCUCGGCUUAACCGGGGAACUGCGUCUGAUACUGGAUGGCUUGAGUUCGGGAGAGGGAUGCGGAAUUCCAGGUGUAGCGGUGAAAUGCGUAGAUAUCUGGAGGAACACCGGUGGCGAAGGCGGCGUUCUGGACUGUCUCUGACACUGAAGAACGAAAGCCAGGGGAGCAAACGGG